rnacentral:rRNA from 1 species
UACGGAGGGUGCAAGCGUUGUCCGGAUUUAUUGGGUUUAAAGGGUGCGUAGGCGGCCCGUUAAGUCAGCGGUGAAAUCCCAGGGCUCAACCCUGGAACUGCCGUUGAUACUGGCGGGCUUGAGUUCGGUCGAGGCGGGCGGAACUGGCGGUGUAGCGGUGAAAUGCUUAGAUACCGCCAAGAACCCCGAUUGCGUAGGCAGCUCGCUGUGCCGAAACUGACGCUGAGGCACGAAAGCGUGGGGAGCGAACAGG